rnacentral:rRNA from 1 species
GUGUCAGCCGCCGCGGUAAAACGUAGGAGGCAAGCGUUAUCCGGAUUUACUGGGCGUAAAGGGCGUGCAGGUGGCGUGUUAAGUGGUGCGUGAAAGCGCUCGGCUCAACCGGGCGAGGGCGUGCCAAACUGGGACGCUAGAAACAGACAGAGGCAAGUGGAAUUCGGGGUGUAGUGGUGAAAUGCGUAGAGAUCCCGAGGAACUCCAGUGGCGAAGGCGACUUGCUGGGUCUGGUUUGACACUCAGACGCGAAAGCAUGGGGAGCGAACGGGAUUAGAAACCCGAGUAGUCC